CAGGAAAAUGGUCGCUCACCUCAAGAGCCUGAAGGGACAAAGUGACACAAAUAUUAUCACACCACAUGCAGAGAUGAACUAAAAUCAGACUGUCAGUGGGAACAAUUCCUGAUGUUACCACCUGGUUCUGGACUCAAGAGAGAGGAACCACCAGACAUCCAGGUCCAACAGCUGGAGUGAGGACCGAGGUUGAACACGUAUUCUGCCCUGAUUCUCACUUCCCGCGUCCCGGACCUCCUGAAUGAGGCUCAAGUCGCACCGAGAGAGGAUCUUGAGGACAGAAAGAACACAGGCGCAGAUUUUCAGAGAAGACGCGACGCUGAACGCGCACAACCCGACGACAAGCAGCAGCAGCGGCCCGGCGGUCCUCAUCGUUCAGACGUGA